GACGAACGCUGGCGGCGUGCUUAACACAUGCAAGUCGAACGGAAAGGCUCCAGCUUGCUGGAGUACUCGAGUGGCGAACGGGUGAGUAACACGUGGGUGAUCUGCCCUGCACUUCGGGAUAAGCCUGGGAAACUGGGUCUAAUACCGGAUAGGACCGCACUUUGGUGUGUGUGGUGGAAAGGUUUUUCUGGUGUGGGAUGAGCUCGCGGCCUAUCAGUUUGUUGGUGGGGUAAUGGCCUACCAAGACGGCGACGGGUAGCCGGCCUGAGAGGGUGGACGGUCACAUUGGGACUGAGAUACGGCCCAGACUCCUACGGGAGGCAGAAGUGGGGAAUAUUGCACAAUGGGGGAAACCCUGAUGCAGCGACGCCGCGUGGGGGAUGAAGGACUUCGGGUUGUAAACUCCUUUCGCUAGGGACGAAGCUUUUUGUGACGGUACCUGGAGAAGAAGCACCGGCUAACUACGUG
rnacentral:rRNA from 1 species